AGAGUUUGAUCCUGGCUCAGAACGAACGCUGGCGGCAGGCUUAACACAUGCAAGUCGAACGCUGUAGCAAUACAGAGUGGCAGACGGGUGAGUAACACGUGGGAACAUGCCCUUCGGUUCGGAAUAACUCAGGGAAACUUGAGCUAAUACCGAAUACGUCCGUAAGGAGAAAGAUUUAUCGCCGAAGGAUUGGCCCGCGUCUGAUUAGCUAGUUGGUGAGGUAACGGCUCACCAAGGCGACGAUCAGUAGCUGGUCUGAGAGGAUGAUCAGCCACAUUGGGACUGAGACACGGCCCAAACUCCUACGGGAGGCAGCAGUGGGGAAUAUUGGACAAUGGGCGAAAGCCUGAUCCAGCCAUGCCGCGUGAGUGAUGACGGCCUUAGGGUUGUAAAGCUCUUUUACCUGGGAAGAUAAUGACGGUACCAGGAGAAUAAGCCCCGGCUAACUUCGUGCCAGCAGCCGCGGUAAUACGAAGGGGGCUAGCGUUGUUCGGAUUUACUGGGCGUAAAGCGCACGUAGGCGGAUUCUUAAGUCAGGGGUGAAAUCCCGAGGCUCAACCUCGGAACUGCCUUUGAUACUGGGGAUCUUGAGUUCGGGAGAGGUGAGUGGAACUGCGAGUGUAGAGGUGAAAUUCGUAGAUAUUCGCAAGAACACCAGUGGCGAAGGCGGCUCACUGGCCCGAUACUGACGCUGAGGUGCGAAAGCGUGGGGAGCAAACAGGAUUAGAUACCCCAGUAGUCC
rnacentral:rRNA from 1 species